GCCCCAAGGACAGCACCCUCCAGCCCAGGACCCUGAGGAGGUCGUGUCCUGUGAGUGUCGCCACCAUGGCCUGGACGGUGCUCCUGCUCGGGCUCCUCACUUACAGCUCAGGUGUGGAUUCUCAGACUGUGGUCACCCAGGAAGCAUCACUGUCCGUUUCUCCAGGAGGGACAGUCACACUCACCUGUGGCCUUAGUUCUGGGUCAGUCUCUAGUGGUAACUACCCCAGCUGGUACCAGCAGACCCCAGGCAAGGCUCCCCACACGCUCAUCUACAACACAAACAGCCGGCCCUCUGGGUUCCCUGAGCGCUUCUCUGGAUCCAUCUCUGGGAACAAAGCCGUCCUCACCAUCACGGGGGCCCAGCCUGAAGAUGAGGCCAACUAUUACUGUAGUCUGUUCAUGGGUAGCUAUGCUUACACAGUGAUGUGUACCCAUGGGGAAGUGCAACCUAAACGUCCUCAUGUGUUCAGAAUGCUGCAGCUUUAG